rnacentral:rRNA from 1 species
AGUGAACGCUGGCGGUAGGCCUAACACAUGCAGGUCGAACGGCAGCACAGUAAGAGCUUGCUCUUACGGGUGGCGAGUGGCGGACGGGUGAGGAAUACAUCGGAAUCUACUUUUUCGUGGGGGAUAACGUAGGGAAACUUACGCUAAUACCGCAUACGACCUACGGGUGAAAGCAGGGGAUCUUCGGACCUUGCGCGAUUGAAUGAGCCGAUGUCGGAUUAGCUAGUUGGCGGGGUAAAGGCCCACCAAGGCGACGAUCCGUAGCUGGUCUGAGAGGAUGAUCAGCCACACUGGAACUGAGACACGGUCCAGACUCCUACGGGAGACAGCAGUGGGGAAUAUUGGACAAUGGGCGCAAGCCUGAUCCAGCCAUACCGCGUGGGUGAAGAAGGCCUUCGGGUUGUAAAGCCCUUUUGUUGGGAAAGAAAAGCAGCAGGUUAAUACCCCGCUGUUCUGACGGUACCCAAAGAAUAAGCACCGGCUAACUUCGUG